rnacentral:rRNA from 1 species
AAUGGGCGAAAGCCUGAUGCAGCAACGCCGCGUGAGUGAUGAAGGCCUUCGGGUCGUAAAACUCUGUCCUCAAGGAAGAUAAUGACGGUACUUGAGGAGGAAGCCCCGGCUAACUACGUGCCAGCAGCCGCGGUAAUACGUAGGGGGCUAGCGUUAUCCGGAUUUACUGGGCGUAAAGGGUGCGUAGGUGGUUUUUUAAGUCAGGAGUGAAAGGCUACGGCUCAACCGUAGUAAGCUCUUGAAACUGGAAAACUUGAGUGCAGGAGAGGAAAGUGGAAUUCCUAGUGUAGCGGUGAAAUGCGUAGAUAUUAGGAGGAACACCAGUAGCGAAGGCGGCUUUCUGGACUGUAACUGACACUGAGGCACGAAAGCGUGGGGAGCAAA